GUCAGGGAUAAGAGUAAGACCUCCGGUGCUGCCAAACAAGUCAAUUUUACCUGAACUGGACUGCAUCCUGAGCACCCACAAAAGCAGAGAGCCCCAUUUCAGCAUGGACUCAUCCAUGGAAUUGAAAUGAGUGUGGGUUCGGAAUUUGGAUGUCUGCGAAGACAAGACCCAUCCAGCACCCUGGACAUCCAAACAAUAAGAGAGACUAGGACACAUUGAAUAGAUAGAAGCUGGAAAUUCCAGGUGGUCUCCAAGAUUCCUUCGUAAUGCAAGACUCCCUCUGCUGCCAUUGUAAUUUGCAAUGCCUAUCCAAGAAAUUAUCAGUUGCUCUCUCACAAGUCACAGAAAGAUUUCCUUGGCAACUCAGCCUGGAAUAAUUAAUUGGUCUUUCUUCCAUUCUGGUAUCUGAAGCAGCACAUCAUCUUGUAGGGUGGCAGCAGCCUGAGAAGUGUGCAAUAUAAUCACCAGAGCUGCUAUGUCUUCCAGUAAAUGGCUCCAGAUAUCUCUCCCUUCCCCUCAAAAGAUGUUUUGGGUCAUUGGAAGGAACAGGUGCAAAGAUCACAGACUUGUCAAGGGAUGCCUGUCAGUGUCAGUAAAAGAAUCCUGAAUUUGAGGGCAAUGUGACAGGAGCAGGGACGGCUUGAUAAUAGAGCUUCAUAAGGAAUGUUCCAAACUAUCAGAAAAGUUGGAGCUGGAGAAGAACCUGCUGUAGAGUAUCUCUGCCAUGACUGUGAAAUAAAGAAGUGAGACUUGGAAUUUCAUAGGAACAUGGUUCAUAGACUACUCAGGGCCAUGAAUCAUGGGGAUGAAACCCCAGGAAGCAGGAGCCCCAGGAGCCCCCCAUUACUACUAUCAAAACAGAACAAUUCCCAGGGGAGCCAGUCAAUUAAGCAUGCAUCACUAUAGCAUCAACAGUAACAGCUUCACUCUAUACUGAAUCCAGUGUGCCAGAAAGAGAUAGAUACAUUAAUGAUUUGCAUUGUUUAUGAACUGUGUGUGUCUUAUGCUUCCACGUACUUUCAACAAGUUACAGCAGCUGAUAUGCUUACUCUUUUAGCAUCAAUAAAUUUCAAUACAGU